GGGUUGUGAGGUUAAGCGACUAAGCGUACACGGUGGAUGCCCUGGCAGUCAGAGGCGAUGAAGGACGUGCUAAUCUGCGAUAAGCGUCGGUAAGGUGAUAUGAACCGUUAUAACCGGCGAUUUCCGAAUGGGGAAACCCAGUGUGAUUCGUCACACUAUCAUUAACUGAAUCCAUAGGUUAAUGAGGCGAACCGGGGGAACUGAAACAUCUAAGUACCCCGAGGAAAAGAAAUCAACCGAGAUUCCCCCAGUAGCGGCGAGCGAACGGGGAGCAGCCCAGAGCCUGAAUCAGUGUGUGUGUUAGUGGAAGCGUCUGGAAAGGCGCGCGAUACAGGGUGACAGCCCCGUACACAAAAAUGCACAUGCUGUGAGCUCGAUGAGUAGGGCGGGACACGUGGUAUCCUGUCUGAAUAUGGGGGGACCAUCCUCCAAGGCUAAAUACUCCUGACUGACCGAUAGUGAACCAGUACCGUGAGGGAAAGGCGAAAAGAACCCCGGCGAGGGGAGUGAAAAAGAACCUGAAACCGUGUACGUACAAGCAGUGGGAGCACGCUUAGGCGUGUGACUGCGUACCUUUUGUAUAAUGGGUCAGCGACUUAUAUUCUGUAGCAAGGUUAACCGAAUAGGGGAGCCGAAGGGAAACCGAGUCUUAACUGGGCGUUAAGUUGCAGGGUAUAGACCCGAAACCCGGUGAUCUAGCCAUGGGCAGGUUGAAGGUUGGGUAACACUAACUGGAGGACCGAACCGACUAAUGUUGAAAAAUUAGCGGAUGACUUGUGGCUGGGGGUGAAAGGCCAAUCAAACCGGGAGAUAGCUGGUUCUCCCCGAAAGCUAUUUAGGUAGCGCCUCGUGAAUUCAUCUCCGGGGGUAGAGCACUGUUUCGGCAAGGGGGUCAUCCCGACUUACCAACCCGAUGCAAACUGCGAAUACCGGAGAAUGUUAUCACGGGAGACACACGGCGGGUGCUAACGUCCGUCGUGAAGAGGGAAACAACCCAGACCGCCAGCUAAGGUCCCAAAGUCAUGGUUAAGUGGGAAACGAUGUGGGAAGGCCCAGACAGCCAGGAUGUUGGCUUAGAAGCAGCCAUCAUUUAAAGAAAGCGUAAUAGCUCACUGGUCGAGUCGGCCUGCGCGGAAGAUGUAACGGGGCUAAACCAUGCACCGAAGCUGCGGCAGCGACACUAUGUGUUGUUGGGUAGGGGAGCGUUCUGUAAGCCUGCGAAGGUGUGCUGUGAGGCAUGCUGGAGGUAUCAGAAGUGCGAAUGCUGACAUAAGUAACGAUAAAGCGGGUGAAAAGCCCGCUCGCCGGAAGACCAAGGGUUCCUGUCCAACGUUAAUCGGGGCAGGGUGAGUCGACCCCUAAGGCGAGGCCGAAAGGCGUAGUCGAUGGGAAACAGGUUAAUAUUCCUGUACUUGGUGUUACUGCGAAGGGGGGACGGAGAAGGCUAUGUUGGCCGGGCGACGGUUGUCCCGGUUUAAGCGUGUAGGCUGGUUUUCCAGGCAAAUCCGGAAAAUCAAGGCUGAGGCGUGAUGACGAGGCACUACGGUGCUGAAGCAACAAAUGCCCUGCUUCCAGGAAAAGCCUCUAAGCAUCAGGUAACAUCAAAUCGUACCCCAAACCGACACAGGUGGUCAGGUAGAGAAUACCAAGGCGCUUGAGAGAACUCGGGUGAAGGAACUAGGCAAAAUGGUGCCGUAACUUCGGGAGAAGGCACGCUGAUAUGUAGGUGAAGUCCCUCGCGGAUGGAGCUGAAAUCAGUCGAAGAUACCAGCUGGCUGCAACUGUUUAUUAAAAACACAGCACUGUGCAAACACGAAAGUGGACGUAUACGGUGUGACGCCUGCCCGGUGCCGGAAGGUUAAUUGAUGGGGUCAGCGCAAGCGAAGCUCUUGAUCGAAGCCCCGGUAAACGGCGGCCGUAACUAUAACGGUCCUAAGGUAGCGAAAUUCCUUGUCGGGUAAGUUCCGACCUGCACGAAUGGCGUAAUGAUGGCCAGGCUGUCUCCACCCGAGACUCAGUGAAAUUGAACUCGCUGUGAAGAUGCAGUGUACCCGCGGCAAGACGGAAAGACCCCGUGAACCUUUACUAUAGCUUGACACUGAACAUUGAGCCUUGAUGUGUAGGAUAGGUGGGAGGCUUUGAAGUGUGGACGCCAGUCUGCAUGGAGCCGACCUUGAAAUACCACCCUUUAAUGUUUGAUGUUCUAACGUUGACCCGUGAUCCGGGUUGCGGACAGUGUCUGGUGGGUAGUUUGACUGGGGCGGUCUCCUCCUAAAGAGUAACGGAGGAGCACGAAGGUUGGCUAAUCCUGGUCGGACAUCAGGAGGUUAGUGCAAUGGCAUAAGCCAGCUUGACUGCGAGCGUGACGGCGCGAGCAGGUGCGAAAGCAGGUCAUAGUGAUCCGGUGGUUCUGAAUGGAAGGGCCAUCGCUCAACGGAUAAAAGGUACUCCGGGGAUAACAGGCUGAUACCGCCCAAGAGUUCAUAUCGACGGCGGUGUUUGGCACCUCGAUGUCGGCUCAUCACAUCCUGGGGCUGAAGUAGGUCCCAAGGGUAUGGCUGUUCGCCAUUUAAAGUGGUACGCGAGCUGGGUUUAGAACGUCGUGAGACAGUUCGGUCCCUAUCUGCCGUGGGCGCUGGAGAACUGAGGGGGGCUGCUCCUAGUACGAGAGGACCGGAGUGGACGCAUCACUGGUGUUCGGGUUGUCAUGCCAAUGGCACUGCCCGGUAGCUAAAUGCGGAAGAGAUAAGUGCUGAAAGCAUCUAAGCACGAAACUUGCCCCGAGAUGAGUUCUCCCUGACUCCUUGAGAGUCCUGAAGGAACGUUGAAGACGACGACGUUGAUAGGCCGGGUGUGUAAGCGCAGCGAUGCGUUGAGCUAACCGGUACUAAUGAACCGUGAGGCUUAACCUUACAACGCCGAAGGUGUUU
rnacentral:rRNA from 1 species